rnacentral:lncRNA from 12 species
GUCAAGUGUUGAAUUAAGCGGGAGAGGUUUGGAGUCUCCAUCCCCGAAGAUUGGGCAGGGACCUGAGCAAGGUGCCCCAGCUCUGAGGUCCAACCCAUCCCGAGGUUUUUGGGAGCUCCAGGAUCCCCCAUUUCUGCCCAGAGCCUUUUUCUCUCUGCAGGAAGAGAAAGGAGGGAGGGAAAGGCAAAUAUUCCAGUUGUGUUCUUGGGUGUGUCCUGGUCCUUGCUGCUAGUUUUUUCAGGAAUUGCUCGGGACGGAAUCGGCACAGGAGAGCAGCACGGAUGGAAGAACAAACACCGGAAUGCUGAGGGCGUGGGAUGGAGCGGGUGAGGGAGGACUCCCGAGGCAGGACACGAUUCCUGAGGUGGGACAGAGACAAUUCCAGAGGCAGGACAUAAUUCCUGAGGCAGAACACGAUUCCAGAGGCAGGAUAGAGACAAUUCCAGAGGCAGGACAGACACAAUUCCAGAGGCAGGACAGAGACAAUUCCAGAAGCAGGACAUGAUUCCAAAGGCAGGACACGAUUCCAGAGGCAGAACAUGAUUCCAGAGGCAGGACAGACACAAUUCCAGAGGCAGGACACGAUUCCAGAGGCAGGACACGAUUCCAGAGGCAGGACACGAUUCCAGAGGCAGGACAGACACGAUUCCAGAGGCAGGACAGACACGAUUCCCUGGAAGGACAGACACGAUUCCCUGGAAGAGCCAGACGGAGAGCCGGAGCCUUCAGACGUUUUCCCAGCUGCUGUUUACUGCACAGAUGAGGUUGCAGCAGUGGUGGGCCGUGGGUGGGCCUAGAGCUGAUGGCUGCGGGCAAGCUGUGUGUCCUGAAGCUCUGUUCUGUUCAUGUUUCCAAGCAUUAUAUUUAUUUCUCUGCUCUGGAUCUCAUUACAUAACAACCAACCCAUACCUUUGCUAUCACCUAUACCCAUCCUAACCACUGACAUCGCCAGAUUCAUGUUGCUAU